rnacentral:rRNA from 1 species
AUGUCACCAACGACAGCUGGAGCGGCGAUGGAACUAGUUGUGCCUCCCAUGAUUGGCAUUGGCGGGACGCUGGAGAUGGCUAUAGAGAUGCCGCACUCUUUGGCGCCAACCGAGGAAAUCAUGCACCAGGAAGAGCGUGGGCCAAUCAUUGCAACCAAUGAGAGCUCACCAAGUCAGCAUGGCAUGGAGGUGGGGCCAGAGCAGUUGGAUGGGAAUCAUGCAUGGGUCCUCACACUUGCACGUACGAAUGUUGAGGGCGCUACAGUGCAGCAAGAUGGGAAUCUUGCACGGGCCCACACCUAUGCACGUACGGUUGCAGCGGGCGUUUUAGAGCAGCAAGAGCUUGGGCGCUCCAUGGCAGCGGAGUCUGAGCAAGUGGGAAUGGGCAAGCUCGCGCUAAGCCUGGCUGACAUUGCAGAAGAUACAGAGGAAGGGGAAGCACCGAAGGAAGUGGAACUGGCAGCGCUCACCGAAGAAAUGACACGACAAGAGGCAGCAGCAUUCGCCAAGCUCAAAACCUUUUGCUCCAACAUUGUUAAACGGCUUGCUCCGCCCCUGCUCAAGGAGGUCCAGGCCUCGGCUUUAAGGGUGGGGCCAGAGCCAUGCACUCCUAGGGCACCACGAGAGCCUCCAAAAGAUCAACAACGACGUCGAUGA